GGCAUUUAGGGGGGGGAAAGGCUGAAAGGCUGAUCAUAGGCUGUUAGUACUCACCACCCACACCACACCCCUCGCAACAGCACUGCCUCUGGGAAGAGCCAUAAAACAAUUUGUACCCCAAAUUCAGUUUGUGCUAUUCUAGAGACUUCACUUAUGGGGACAUACUUUACCUAAGUGUGUAAACUAACUAAAUUCCCACAAUAGGGGAAUAGGGUUCUAAUGACAACCCCUUGGGAAAAUACUUAUGAUGGAUAUAGCUCCUACCUCAGCUCCUUUCCCUGGAACAUGUUUCAAAAAAGGGAAGGAAGAGUUGAGCAUGUUUUCAGAUGAGACCAGACUGCAAGCAAGAACUUCUUGGACCACACUACCUGCUGCUGCCUUAGA